UACGAAGGGGGCUAGCGUUGUUCGGAAUUACUGGGCGUAAAGCGCACGUAGGCGGAUCGAUCAGUCAGGGGUGAAAUCCCAGAGCUCAACUCUGGAACUGCCUUUGAUACUGUCGGUCUAGAGUAUGGAAGAGGUGAGUGGAAUUCCGAGUGUAGAGGUGAAAUUCGUAAAUAUUCGGAGGAACACCAGUGGCGAAGGCGGCUCACUGGUCCAUUACUGACGCUGAGGUGCGAAAAGCGUGGGGAGCAAACAGG
rnacentral:rRNA from 1 species